UACAGAGGGUGCAAGCGUUGUUCGGAAUUAUUGGGCGUAAAGCGCGUGUAGGCGGCUUGGCAAGUCAGAUGUGAAAGCCCCCGGCUCAACUGGGGAGGGUCACGCGAUACUGAUCGACUCGAAGGCAGAAGAGGGUAGUGGAAUUCCCGGUGUAGUGGUGAAAUGCGUAGAUAUCGGGAGGAACACCAGUGGCGAAGGCGACUACCUGGCCUGUUCUUGACGCUGAGGCGCGAAAGCUAGGGGAGCAAACGGG
rnacentral:rRNA from 1 species